rnacentral:lncRNA from 1 species
AACUUGCAGAGAACCUCAAUUGGUGCAGAGCAGAGCAGAGCAGAGGAUUGGAGACACAUCCGUUCCUAUUGCUCCUAGGAUAAACCUUGAAAUUCAUCGCAGAAACAGAGGGAAACUGAGUCCCUGGAAAGGCCCAGCAGAGAUGGAUCCAAACAAGCUUUCAAUGGAAGAGGGCAAGCAGUUCCUUAAACAGUGUGGGAUCCCACAAAGAGAUGUAAGU